rnacentral:lncRNA from 1 species
UUGGAGUUAUGGGUGGGAGGCCUUAAUAACCUCGGUUGACCUAAUUUUGUGUCAAAAUCCUAGUUUUGUGGUUCUAAUUUCACUCAAGUGUAUAUUGUUCCUUGUUGGUUCAUAUGCAACUGUCAUGCAACAUACUUCUUAAUGAUGUUACCAUACUUAUUAAUUACUUUCUCAAACUGAUGUAAUUAGCUUUCUAUGUAAAUUUGUGUUAUAUUUGAACUGAGGACCUCCCUAAUUAGACCUUUUCAAUAAGAGUUUAUGCAUUCAUCAUUUGUUCUCUGCA